UACGGGGGGGAGCAAGCGUUGUUCGGAUUUACUGGGCGUAAAGGGCGCGUAGGCGGCCACCGCAAGUCAGUUGUGAAAUCUCUGGGCUUAACCCAGAAAGGUCAACUGAUACUGCGGGGCUAAAGUGCAGAAGGGGCAACUGGAAUUCUCGGUGUAGCGGUGAAAUGCGUAGAUAUCGAGAGGAACACCUGCGGCGAAGGCGGCUUCCUGGACCGAUACUGACGCUGAGACGCGAAAGCGUGGGGAGCAAACAGG
rnacentral:rRNA from 1 species